CUCACUUAAGCCCUCUUGCUGCCACGUGAAUAAGCCUGUGCUAGUCUGUUGCAUAAUGAAAAACACAUAGUCUGGUUGCCCGCAUUAACCCAGCCAAUGGCCAGAACACUUGCAGCUGACCAAAGAUGCUUAAGAGAGUCCAGGUGAGAAAAGAAGGGCCACUUAUCUGGGCCUAACCGAAAUUGCUGAUAAGCAAAGGGGAAAGUAAAUAAGUGGUUAUUGUUGUUCUAAGCCUCUAACUUACAGUGUGGUUAUGAUGCAGAUAUAAGCACCAUAGAGCUUCAGUUUGAGUCUUAGUUUCCUCAUCUGUAAAACUGGAAUCAUAAUCUUCCUCCCCCGCCCAUAGGCAUGCUGAACCACUAAGCAAAUAGAAGAUCUCCAAUAAAUGUUGCAUCAGAAUAAAUGUCGCAACCUAAAAACCAAAACCAUUCAUCCAUUCUGAGGGAAUCCAUCAGCUUCCAUGCCUUCUGUCUACAGGAAGUAUGGCCCUCCUGUUUCAAGCCAGACAUGCCCUCAGAUAUUCUGCUGGGGCUGCGUGAACCACAGUCAGCAUUCCCAAUUAUUGGAUCUAAUCAGUUCAGCAGCAGGAAGCUGUUCUUUUCAUUUGUAGAACCUAGCAUAUCUUCUAAUUCUAUAGCUAUGUCAGCCAUCUCAGCCGUGUUUAACUGA
rnacentral:lncRNA from 12 species